GAAAUGCGAUAAGUAGUGUGAAUUGCAGAAUUCAGUGAAUCAUCCAAUCUUUGAACGCACAUUGCGCCCUUUGGUAUUCCAAAGGGCAUGCCUGUUCGAGCGUCAUUUGUACCCUCAAGCUUUGCUUGGUGUUGGGCGUCUUGUCUCUAGCUUUGCUGGAGACUCGCCUUAAAGUAAUUGGCAGCCGGCCUACUGGUUUCGGAGCGCAGCACAAGUCGCACUCUCUAUCAGCAAAGGUCUAGCAUCCAUUAAGCCUUUUUUUCAACUUUUGACCUCGGAUCAGGUAGGGAUACCCGCUGAACUUAAGC
rnacentral:misc_RNA from 1 species